CGGAAUUACUGGGCGUAAAGCGUGCGCAGGCGGUUGUGUAAGUCAGAUGUGAAAUCCCCGGGCUCAACCUGGGAAUUGCAUUUGAGACUGCACGGCUAGAGUGUGUCAGAGGGGGGUAGAAUUCCACGUGUAGCAGUGAAAUGCGUAGAUAUGUGGAGGAAUACCGAUGGCGAAGGCAGCCCCCUGGGAUAACACUGACGCUCAUGCACGAAAGCGUGGGGAGCAAACAGGAUUAGAUACCCUGGUAGUCCACGCCCUAAACGAUGUCUACUAGUUGUCGGGUCUUAAUUGACUUGGUAACGCAGCUAACGCGUGAAGUAGA
rnacentral:rRNA from 1 species